rnacentral:rRNA from 1 species
AUACGGAGGAUGCAAGCGUUAUCCGGAUUUAUUGGGUUUAAAGGGUGCGUAGGCGGUUUGCUAAGCGGGAGGUGAAAUGCCGGCGCUCAACGUCGGAAGUGCCUCCCGAACUGGUGGACUUGAAUGACUCUGCCGUGGGAGGAAUGUGUAGUGUAGCGGUGAAAUGCUUAGAGAUUACACAGAACACCGAUUGCGAAGGCAUCUCACGAAGGGUUGAUUGACGCUGAGGCACGAAAGCGUGGGGAUCAAACAGGAUUAGAUACCCUGGUAGUCCACGCAGUAAACGAUGAUGGCUAAUCGCUGGAUCCAUCGGUUCAGUGGCCAAGCGAAAGCGAUAAGCCAUCCACCUGGGGAGUACGACCGCAAGGUUGAAACUCAAAUGAAUUGACGGGG